CAUCCUCUGCGGUGUACGCCAGCGGGCCUGGGCAAUCCUUGACCCUAAAUAUCGACCCAGGGAACUGAGCCGCCGGUGCUGUGAGCACGUCCGCCGCCGAGCGGAAAGCCUGAUGCAUCGGCCGAGGUUCCCACUUGAACCGACCGGUUCAAGGACAAAGGUCCGCAGCGGCACAGGCGGAGGGUGC
rnacentral:other from 1 species